rnacentral:tRNA from 1 species
UGGGAUGUGGCUCAGUGGUGGAGUGGACGCCUGCCAUGUGCAAGGUCCUAGGUUCGACUCCUAGCGCCAUAA